rnacentral:rRNA from 1 species
GACGAAUGCCGGCUGCGUGCUUAACACAUGCAAGUCGAACGGUGAACAGGGGCUUGCCCCUGGGAUCAGUGGCGAACGGGUGAGUAACACGUGGGCAACCUGCCCCUCACUCUGGGAUAACUCCGGGAAACCGGGGCUAAUACCGGAUACGACCUCGCGCGCCAUCUCGUGAGGUGGAAAGAAGUUCGGUGAGGGAUGGGCCCGCGGCCUAUCGGCUUGUUGGUGGGGUAACGGCCCACCAAGGCGGCGACGGGUAGCCGGCCUGAGGGGGCGACCGGCCACACUGGGACUGAGACACAGCCCAGACGCCUACGGGAGGCAGCAGUGGGGAAUAUUGCGCAAUGGGCGAAAGCCUGACGCAGGGACGCAGCGUGAGGGACGACCGCCUUCGGGUUGUAAACCUCUUUCAGCGGGGCCGAAGCGCAAGUGACGGUACCCGCAGAAGAAGCACCGGCUAACUACGUGCCAGCCGCCGCUGUAACAC